CAUGAAAUUACAAACCAAAUCCUCAUCAUUGUGUUGGAAGGUACCCUAAAACAAACACACAAAAACAACUCUUUUUGGGUUUUGCAAAGCAAUUUUUCAAAUUUUUAUGUGAUUUUCGGAGUUAUAAGUCAGCACACACUAAAACUCACCAAAACAGCCUAAAAACACCUAAAAACAGCAAGAAACAACAUUGGGAAGUAUGAGUGAGAAAACCCUACGAAUUUGCAUCAACACACUUUGGUUACCCCCCCACACUUA
rnacentral:lncRNA from 1 species